AGUAUGCUCAUGGAUAUAUUCAAGUCCUCUAGCUGAAUCUAGAGCAAUUUGAACCCUCUUAGACCAUGGCAAUGGGUCCCUUCCUGUACCACGUAGAUGUUGGCCUAUGUGGCCAUUCUCAACGUAUUCAUAUACAAGAAAGAGGGAACCUUCAACACAAUAACCUAUCAAGCGCACCAGGUUCAGGUGAUGAACAUUUGUCAAGACCUUCAAUUCAGCUAGAAACUCCCUGGUAGCCUCCAUGUCCAUUUUCUUGAUGGCUGCUUUCUCGCCUCUGAGCUCAGCAUAAUAAACCGCACCAAAACCACCUUGUCCGAUUUUGUUAGCAAUGCUGAAGUCAUUAGUUGCAGUAGCAAGCUCCUCAUAAGUGAACUCAACAGAUUUAUCCACAGUUAUGCCUGAAAGCACUGGAGAAUUGCCAUCAGCCAGGCGACCGGAAUCAGCAGCUUUAACUGUCGUACUGCCUUCUGGGCCAUGACCAUACUGAUGGAGGUGGUCUUCCGAUCUGAGCAGCGAAAUCUUUCGUGUUUUGUUCCUAUAACAUCCUACAUAAACCAAACCAGCCAACAGCAAGACUACUCCUAUUGCUCCUAUAGAUAUCCCAGCUUUAGCGCCACCAGACAAACCAUCUGUGCUUGUUGGCAGCGGUGGAAAGUUCCCAUUUCUAUCUCUUCCCGGUAUAUAGAUGAUUCCUUGCCCUAUAUCUAGUAUGGACACGGCCGCGGGAUUAUACCUUCUGAUUAUAUCUUCACUCACAUUGGCUGCUGAAGCCACUGACGUCAAGUUAUCCUCCGCCCGCACAGGGUACGUCACAAACAACCCAAAAUCCUUCGAAACGUCACUAUUCCCACAAGAACAAUUCACUACAACACUUAAAUUCACAGUAUUCGGAAUAUUAUUCUCAGGAUAACUAUUAAACUUCAUCAUCCACUGUGCAGUCGUCAAAUCAGAGUAGUUCCUCGCCACAAGAUCAUAAGUAUCACCGGAUUUAACCCUA
rnacentral:misc_RNA from 1 species